UUUGAAUUAAUGCAUUUGGCCGGGAGUGAAAGAGUUAGUGAGGUCCUCCGAUUGGACCCGGUCCGGGCGGCGACGUCCGAGCCGGCGUCCGAGAAGACGAUCUAACUUGAUCAUUUAGAGGAAGUAAAAGUCGUAACAAGGUUUCCGUAGGUGAACCUGCGGAAGGAUCAUUA
rnacentral:ncRNA from 1 species